rnacentral:rRNA from 1 species
UACGUAGGGUGCAAGCGUUGUCCGGAAUUAUUGGGCGUAAAGAGCUCGUAGGCGGUUUGUCGCGUCGGCUGUGAAAACUGGAGGCUUAACCUUCAGCGUGCAGUCGAUACGGGCAGACUUGAGUUCGGUAGGGGAGGCUGGAAUUCCUGGUGUAGCGGUGAAAUGCGUAGAUAUCAGGAGGAACACCGGUGGUGUAGACGGCUUUCUGGACCGUAACUGACGCUGAAACACGAAAGCGUGGGUAGCAAACAGG